rnacentral:ncRNA from 1 species
AUGUUAUACUAGAAAAGUUGCCUAGCAACCCUUGGUGCUUAGUUCCUUUCGCCAAGCAUAUUACACACGCUGGAUUGAUGGCAAUCAAUCUGAGACGUCAAAGGAGAUU